UACGAAGGGUGCAAGCGUUACUCGGAAUUACUGGGCGUAAAGCGUGCGUAGGCGGUUUGUUAAGUCUGUCGUGAAAGCCCCGGGCUCAACCUGGGAAUGGCGAUGGAUACUGGCGAGCUAGAGUACGGUAGAGGAGAGUGGAAUUCCCGGUGUAGCAGUGAAAUGCGUAGAGAUCGGGAGGAACAUCAGUGGCGAAGGCGGCCUGCUGGGCUGUUGCUGACGCUGAGGCGCGACAGCGUGGGGAGCAAACAGG
rnacentral:rRNA from 1 species